UUGUCUGUUAUUGUUGUGUUGUGUUGUGAAAAUGGCUGCCGCGAGUGAGUUGAGUUUAGAAGCAGUUCGCGAUUUUAUGUUGUUAAAGGGUGGAAAAGUGACAAAUCAUGACCUCGUCAAACAUUUUAAGAACUCUCUUACAAAUCCGGACACCAGAGUGCAGGCCCGCAACGAGUUCAAGGAGAUUGUCAACACGGUAGCAACUAUCAUCCGUAGUGACGAGGGAGAAAAAUACUUGGUAUUGAAGAAGAAAUACAGGACUCCGAGUUUGCAGAGUUCUGACUCCUUCGCCAGUGCUCUAACCUCCCCAGAUAUCAAUCCCUCACCAUCUAUGACCUCUCUGCAUUCCAUGGCAGACAAACGAUCCAUCUCACACUCCACAUCCCAAGAUUCUCUGGACAGCGCUACGUCCCCGACCCGACAGCCACCGCCAUACCGCCCCCCUCCCCCACCCGUCGUCUCAACACCCCCAUCCACCCCAGUGUCUGAUGCUCCUCCUGUACCUCCUCGCAAGAAGAGCACUGGAAGCAACAAAGAAAACUCUCCAGAGGUCACUGGAAGGCCAACAACCAUCGGUGCAGAAGCUGACGUAGAAGAAAGUGACCCCGAGAACAAAAUUAGCGUUAAGGAAUGUAUGCAAAAGUUUCAACGCAUGGCGUCAGAAAGUGCACUACAGAAAGCACAUCUUCCUGCUGUCAAAAAGAGAUUUGAAAAGGGUGGACCAGAUAAGGAUGACGACACGCAUUCUGUCACUUCUCUGGAUCCGAAGGCGCGGGAGUGGAUGGUGAAGGCUGCUCAGUCGGAUUACCAGGCUCUGUUCAAGUUGGCAUCUGAAAAUCCAAAACUAGCAAAGUUCAAGGAUCCAUCGUCCUGCUAUACGGCACUCCACUGGGCGGCCAAGCACGGUAACGUGGAUGUGGUCAAGCUGAUAGCCGGAACACACAAGGUCGACGUCAACUGUCGGACGAAUGGUGGGUAUACCGCUCUUCACCUGGCCAUGCAGUAUGGUCAUGAAGACAUCUUUAAUUUGCUCAAGGACGUUUAUGGCGCCAACCCCGCGAUUCGGGAUUGGAGCGGACGCAAGCCACGUCAGUACCUGACCAACAAGGACACCAGCGUCUCCGCGGACACUUUCAGAAGGUUGUUAGAGGGUGGUUCCUUGCGAAAUCAAAGCAAGGAAAAAACAAUCCGAAAAGGACUCUGGUUUCUUGAGGAUUGGCUCCCUGAAUGUAAGAGUGAAGAGGACAACUGAGGCCUUCAGCAACUUUCUCGGAGUCGGCAAUGCUGACAAGCUGCACAAAACCUGGGGAUCUGCUGACAACCUUCCUCAGGGAGAUGCACGAAAAAUGCCACCACCAAAACACGCACCAAUCAAGAAACGCAAGUCAAAGCGAGCCAUGGACUUUGCUCAGCCUAUACCAAGGCCGGAGAGUGUCAUCAGCACCAAGUCUGGAGGUGCUGACAGUG
rnacentral:misc_RNA from 1 species